CCCCGGGCUCCGCACAACGUGGCGUCGGUGAACCCCGCCAGGCCGGGAACGGAGCAACGGUAGCCGCGCGCCGCGUGUGUUGCGGGUCGGUCCGGGGCCU
rfam:Pyrinomonas methylaliphatogenes, K22, WGS project CBXV01000000 data, contig: PYK22_K22_C12